CUUCAGCAGCGGCGCCCCAGGCUUCAUCAUCUCCCAGGUGAAAUCUACAGACCGAGGAGGUAGAUCAACAAACGUUCAAAAGAGGACAAGGAAGGACAGAACAGAAGGAUGAGCCCUCUUUCUAACAAUCCUCUGAUGAGUAAAGCCAAGCAAGUAAGGCUUAAAACAGGAGCUGCACUAGCCCGAGGAGUUUUCCCCUGUCAUGACCGACAUCCAGCAUGGAGUCCAACUAGGAGAGAGACUGCCUAGAGAUGGGCAGCCCUCCAGGUGCUCUGUCAAGCUCGAAUGCCAAAGAACUUCAGCAGUAAGACUGCUGAUACCUAACAAUCCCCAACAAAUGAAAAUGUGCAGACUACGGCCUACAGAUGGACAAGCAGCCUGCUGAGCUGGCCGUAGCUGCCUAUCUCUUACCCAGGAAGAAUGGCCAGACCAGGAGCUGGGAGCAAGAAUGAAGGCUGGCCUGCGUUUGGGAACCGUGCACCUUCUUGGUGGCUCCAAGAUUCUCUGUGAAACACUGAGCCAUCUUUGUAAUGGCCAUAUUCUUCCAGUGACACUCUUUGGUGUGAUUUCCACACGACUCCAAUCCCCAGAGAAACAAUGGUGGGUCACAGAAGCGCACCAGAGAGCUGUGUGGUAUGUAUUGGGAGGUGGUGGCAGCAACACACCACUACAGCAAACUCCAUAAGCACCAGCAAAUAGCAGCACAACUGGAAACUGCAGCAGGCUGGGCAUGUCGCAAACCGUCAAUUACAGAAGGAUGGCCCUAGGCUCUCCUGGCACCAACAUGAUGUCUAAUGGAAGCCCCUCACUCGAACCCUGGGUGGGCCGGCCCUCAGGAGAGAAUGUUCAAGAGGACCCUGACAACAAUUGCCAAGGUCCAGAAAGCGCGGACAGGUGGCCAGCAUCACCGUCGUCCAUGCAGGGCUGGUUACACCCUGAUCUCUGGGCCACCUCCAAGCACUCCUUCUCCACGAUCCAGAACUCUGAAAUUCCUCUGACCCCAAUUUCCUCUCUUUCCAUCUUUCCCUGGGUCUCACCCUCCCAAACUUGUUUCGUGGUCAGUGCAGUUCCUAGGCUUGCUCCUCUUCUCUGUUUUCCUGGUCCAUCCUCCCUGCUCUGGCCUGACCUAAGUCCAUUCUCCAGCUUGACUGCUACUGGCCAUGAUUAACCCACUUCACACACAGUCCUGAAUCCUUAAAUCUCUUGCUUC